rnacentral:rRNA from 1 species
UACGAAGGGGGCUAGCGUUGCUCGGAAUGACUGGGCGUAAAGGGCGCGUAGGCGGCUCAUACAGUCAGAUGUGAAAUUCCUGGGCUUAACCUGGGGGCUGCAUUUGAUACGUGUGGGCUUGAGUGGGGAAGAGGGUCGUGGAAUUCCCAGUGUAGAGGUGAAAUUCGUAGAUAUGGGGAGGAACACCGGUGGCGAAGGCGGCCAUCUGGACGGAUACUGACGCUGAGACGCGAAAGCGUGGGGAGCAAACAGG